CUAAUUUCGGCUACCUUUUUCCACGAACACCGCUGAACUUCUACCUUCUGUGCGUUCGACUGGAAUCAUACGAACAAGGCGCUAUUUUGGGAGUAUUUCCAUCCGAACAACCUCUAUCCAUUGCGUUUCAGUCCCUAAAGAAAGCAUUGACUCAUACCCCUGUAUUGGCUGCCCCAGUGCCUAACAAACGUUUUAUUGUCCACACAGACGCUUCCAUGUUUGGGC